rnacentral:rRNA from 1 species
CCUACGGGAGGCAGCAGUGGGGGAUAUUGCACAAUGGGGGGAACCCUGAUGCAGCGACGCCGCGUGGGUGAAGGAGUGCUUCGGCAUGUAAAGCCCUAUCGGCAGGGAAGAAGCAAGACGGUACCUGACUAAGAAGCCCCGGCUAACUACGUGCCAGCAGACGCGGUAAUACGUAGGGGGCGAGCGUUAUCCGGAUUCACUGGGGGGAAAGGGAGCGUAGACGGCGAUGCAAGCCAGGGGUGGAAGCCCGGGGCCCAACCCCGGGACUGUCCUUGGAACUGCAUGGCUGGAGUGCGGGAGGGGCAGGCGGAAUUCCUGGUGUAGCGGUGAAAUGCGGAGAUAUCAGGAGGAACACCGGCGGCGAAGGCGGCCUGCUGGACCGCGACUGACGUUGAGGCUCGAAAGCGUGGGGAGCGAACAGGAUUAGAUACCCGGGUAGUC